rnacentral:sRNA from 1 species
GCUGGGUGUGGGGGGUGCACACCUGUAAUCCCAGAGGCUUGGGAGGCUGAGGCAGGAGGAUUCUGAGCUCAAAGCCAGCCUCAGCAACUCAGCGAGGCACUAAGCAACUCCGUGAGACCCUGUCUCUA